AAUUUGCGAUAGAAUUAGGA
rnacentral:snRNA from 1 species